CCGAGCACAUGGGCCCGCGGGCCGGGCGGGCUCGGGGCGGCCGGGACGAGGAGGGGCGACGACGAGCUGCGAGCAAAGAUGUGCCCCGGGACCCCCGGCACCUUCCAGUGGAUUUCCUUGCGGAAAGGAUGUUGGCGGUCCCUGUGACCUGUGGAGACACGGCCAGAUCUGCCCUCCAGAUUUAUUAGGAGAAAAACCUUCCCGGAAGCUGCAGAAGGACAAAUACAGAAUCCGUGUCUGGGAGAAACCUCGUGGCCUGGUCUCCAUUAUUUGAGAUGAGUUACAUCUUGGAGGACCAUAGCUGUCUGCAGUGCAGGAAGCCAACUAUUAAGGGGAAACAAAAGUGUUCUUAGGAGUCCUGCUGUCACUGUGGAUUGAGCCGGUGAAGCCCUGAGGGAUUUCAUCGCUGAGGUGGAUGGAGAAGCAGCUGGGGGCCUUGGCUGUAAGGACCCCUAAGG
rnacentral:lncRNA from 1 species